UACAGAGGGGGCAAGCGUUGUUCGGAAUUACUGGGCGUAAAGGGCGCGUAGGCGGCCUGCUAAGUCGAACGUGAAAUCCCUGGGCUCAACCCAGGAACUGCGUCCGAUACUGGUUGGCUUGAAUCCGGGAGAGGGAUGCGGAAUUCCAGGUGUAGCGGUGAAAUGCGUAGAUAUCUGGAGGAAUACCGGUGGCGAAGGCGGCAUCCUGGACUAAUACUGACGCUGAGGCGCGAAAGCUAGGGGAGCAAACGGG
rnacentral:rRNA from 1 species